rnacentral:rRNA from 1 species
GAAACGACUGCUAAUACCGCAUAAGCCCACGGGUCGGCAUCGACCAGAGGGAAAAGGAGCAAUCCGCUUUGAGAUGGCCUCGCGUCCGAUUAGCUAGUUGGUGAGGUAACGGCCCACCAAGGCAACGAUCGGUAGCCGGACUGAGAGGUUGAACGGCCACAUUGGGACUGAGACACGGCCCAGACUCCUACGGGAGGCAGCAGUGGGGAAUAUUGCACAAUGGGGGAAACCCUGAUGCAGCGACGCCGCGUGGAGGAAGAAGGUCUUCGGAUUGUAAACUCCUGUUGUUGAGGAAGAUAAUGACGGUACUCAACAAGGAAGUGACGGCUAACUACGUGCCAGCAGCCGCGGUAAAACGUAGGUCACAAGCGUUGUCCGGAAUUACUGGGUGUAAAGGGAGCGCAGGCGGGAGGACAAGUUGGAAGUGAAAUCCAUGGGCUCAACCCAUGAACUGCUUUCAAAACUGUUUUUCUUGAGUAGUGCAGAGGUAGGCGGAAUUCCCGGUGUAGCGGUGGAAUGCGUAGAUAUCGGGAGGAACACCAGUGGCGAAGGCGGCCUACUGGGCACCAACUGACGCUGAGGCUCGAAAGUGUGGGUAGCAAACAGGAUUAGAUACCCUGGUAGUCCACACCGUAAACGAUGAUUACGAGGUGUUGGAGGAUUGACCCCUUCAGUG